GCCUAAGUCACCAAAACAGCUUUGCCGCAUUGGGGUCCUGGGUGCCUGCCGGGAUCUACGCAGAGGUCUGCGCCAGGGCCGGAGCCGCGGAGCUUCAUCUCCUCAGUUUCCUGGCCUGCACAAGCCUUCGCCGCCCCCUCCACCGCCUCCUCGUCCUCCAUCUCCCCCGCCUUUUCAGACGCCUCCUCGGGCAAGGCUCCUCCCCCACCUCACGAGCUCCAGCAGACGAAAAAGGCGGAGGGCAAGGAAGCUUCUCGAAUUUGGGCCAUCAGCUCACCGUCAGGCAGAGAAAGGCGUCUGGAGUUGAGCUGCGACUGUAGAUGGAAUGAGACGGAUUGUGGUGAAUGAUCUGGCUAGCUUCAUAGCCUCGGAGGGUCAUUAGCGCCCCGGGACCCUCCCACGGGCCCUUAAGUUCAGCCGCGGACGCGGCAGACUCCACCCCCUCUAUUCAGAGGUUCCCAAGUUAGUGUGAAGACGGAUGGAGGCGGUUACCUGCUUUAAAGGCGAUCGGAUGGUGCCCAGGGUGAAGGGGGAUGGGCUGGUCACAAGGGGGCCGCCCCCGGCCCCUCCCCUCUCAACGUGCGGCCCCCAGCCCCGGAUUCUGCCCUCCUGUAGUGAUGAAUGGCGCUGCUGUCCCGCGCAGACAAACCUCUUCCUGAAACAUUCUACUGGAAGUAACCACAGCGACGGAUUCUAGAGGAAGCUUCUGAAAUGGAGGUUCUGGCCUCACCUGGCUACAGGCCGGCGCUCUGCAGAAAAAAAGAUUCUUUCCGGGGGGUGGGGUGGGGAGGGGGGAGGGGUGCAGAGAUGGCAACUGCCUGGCAGGAAUCCCUCAGGGACCCAUCAGAGUCGAAUAUCUAGGAGUUAAGUGGAGAGAGGAAUGUUAUUCUGGAGUGUAAGGAGAAAGGAAGAAUAAGCAAGGACUUAAGGAGAGACCCGGGCACUUGCUAGCAGUGUGAGCUCAGAUAAAACACCUAGCCUCUCUGAGCCUUAGUUGUAUCAUUUGUUAAACAAAAAUGGAAAUAAUAAUCCUAAUUUGUUAUGAACACUAAAUCACUAUAAACUAAAGGAUCUUUAUGACAAACUUUAUCUUUUACAUCUCAGUCCCCGCCUUAUAAUCAGCCUAUAGUAUAAUGCCUGAUACUUAAAAGUAUAGCAGAAAGGAACACUUCUUUUGAAACUCUCUCAAAGUUAUUGCUCAGUUAACUGCAUUAUCCCUGCUAAGCAGUUCAUGUACCUGAGCAUGCAAUCAACAAAUGUACUCGGAUCCUUUAACUGCACUACUGUGCUAGAUUGUGCUGUGAUAAAUGCAGGGUAAAACAGUUGGUAACCUCCAGGAGUUCAUAGCUCAGAUUUUUCCUUUUAACAAAUCCAAGGACACAACCCCCAUGAAACUUAGAUAUGAUAGGGAGUAAACUAAGUCGGGGAGGAGGAGGGAGACAUGUCUCACCCAUUGAAUCAGCAGUCCUGAGCCUGGUUGAAGAUUGCCAGGUGUUCUAAAUGUCGCAAGCAGGGAUAGAUAGUGCAGGAGGAGGGGAGUCCUUGAGACUGUGUGCUGGGAAAGAGAGCCUCUGUAGCAAUUUCACCAAGACAAAGAGCCUUUACUAGCUGAGAAAGAAAGGCUUUGUGGCUGUAAAUUAUUCCCAAGGUUUAGAAGGGGAAGAAGGAAGGGGGAUCUAGAAGCUGACUAAGAUGCAUGACCCCUGAACCCCAACAGUUGGUGCACUCAUUAGCUGAGUGCCCACUUUUAGCCUUGGCUCAAGUGUAUGAAACAAACUUAAUAACAACUUUAUUUCCUCUAUAUGUGGGGCAUUCAGACUAGCCAGAUGCCUACAUGCAACUUUGUGUUUCUAUGUAUUUAAUAAAUAAACUUGCUUUCUCGUUUC